CUAAAGCUGUUCUAAAACACUUAAACAAUUGAAAUCAUUUUGCCUCUUCUCCAAAAGCAAGAAACCCUAUCGUUCCAUUUCAAAACCCCCAAAUUAGCUCAAACCAAAUUAGCUCAAACCCUAUCAACUUUCUUUUGCUCUCAUCGGAAUAUAAGUUUGAAGACAUGUUAGAGGAAGUCCAGAAAAUUGAGCAAGUUGAAGAAGAAUAUGCAGACUCGCCUUUGAGGAUUGAUUAGAGGGAUAGUUAACUACAAUUUGCUUCAUGACUAUUUUUGGAAUCUUUACUACUUUAAGGUAAUUAAUUAAAAGAAAGUUGGUGCAUGGUUUUUAAUCGAUUA